UUCUCGAUCUCGAUAUGUCAGUGCCGCUGGUACUCCACUCUCUUCAAUCGGAGCUUUGUGAGGAUAGGUCAAUGGAGGGCCCCGAUUGUUACGCCUGUGGUUCACGAUUGAGUCCUGUUUGGAUUGGUGGAAUGCUAUUGUCUGUCUGUCUGCUGACUCUCUGGUCAUCAACACGCUCCGUAAGGAAACCAGUGGAGCAGCAAGUGCUCACCCCUGUGUUGCGGAUCUAUUGCGCUGGAGUUGGCACAAUUUGUCAUCGUCAUCUUUGCUUUAGUUGUCAUCUUAUCCUUCCCAUCCUCAUCAUCAUGCCGUUCUACUCCACAGGAAGUGCCGUCGUCAUCACACAAGUGUCGGAGAAUUCGCAGUGUCUGGGCCCCGGGGGCCUAGCUGUGGGACCGGGUCACCAGCAUCAGUGGUGUAGGGUGGACCGACAUCGAGGAAUGGCAUGGCAGCGUUAA
rnacentral:sRNA from 1 species